rnacentral:rRNA from 1 species
AUUGAACGCUGGCGGCAUGCUUUACACAUGCAAGUCGAACGGUAACAGGCCGCAAGGUGCUGACGAGUGGCGAACGGGUGAGUAAUGCAUCGGAACGUGCCCAGUCGUGGGGGAUAACGCAGCGAAAGCUGCGCUAAUACCGCAUACGAUCUAUGGAUGAAAGCGGGGGACCGUAAGGCCUCGCGCGAUUGGAGCGGCCGAUGUCAGAUUAGGUAGUUGGUGAGGUAAAGGCUCACCAAGCCGACGAUCUGUAGCUGGUCUGAGAGGACGACCAGCCACACUGGGACUGAGACACGGCCCAGACUCCUACGGGAGGCAGCAGUGGGGAAUUUUGGACAAUGGGGGCAACCCUGAUCCAGCAAUGCCGCGUGCAGGAAGAAGGCCUUCGGGUUGUAAACUGCUUUUGUACGGAACGAAACGGCUCUGGUUAAUACCUGGGGCUAAUGACGGUACCGUAAGAAUAAGCACCGGCUAACUACGUGCCAGCAGCCGCAGUAAAAC